rnacentral:lncRNA from 1 species
ACUCUAGCAGCACAGUCCAUCCAGUAGGUAGUAGUAGUGUCACACUCUAGCAGCACAGUCCAUCCAGUAGGUAGUAGUAGUAGUGUAUCACUCUAGCAGCACAGUCCAUCCAGUAGGUACUAGUAGUGUAUCACUCUAGCAGCACAGUCCAUCCAGUAGGUAGUAGUAGUGUGUCACACUCUAGCAGCACAGUCCAUCCAGUAGGUAGUAGUAGUGUCACACUCUAGCAGCACAGUCCAUCCAGUAGGUAGUAGUAGUGUGUCACACUCUAGCAGCACAGUCCAUCCAGUAGGUAGUAGUAGUGUCACACUCUAGCAGCACAGUCCAUCCAGUAGGUAGUAGUAGUGUGUCACACUCUAGCAGCACAGUCCAUCCAGUAGGUAGUAGUAGUGUAUCACUCUAGCAGCACCGUCCAUCCAGUAGGUAGUAGUAGUAGUGUCACACUCUAGCAGCACAGUCCAUCCAGUAGGUAGUAGUAGUGUAUCACUCUAGCAGCACAGUCCAUCCAGUAGGUAGUAGUAGUGUAUCACUCUAGCAGCACAGUCCAUCCAGUAGGUACUAGUAGUGUCACACUGUAUCAGCACAGUCCAUCCAGUAGGUGUAGUAGUAGUAGUAGUGUCACACUCUAGCAGCACAUUCCAUCCAGUAGGUAGUAGUAGUAGUGUCACACUCUAGCAGCACAGUCCAUCCUGUAGGUAGUAGUAGUGUCACACUCUAGCAGCACAGUCCAUCCUGUAGGUAGUAGUAGUGUAUCACUCUAGCAGCACAGUCCAUCCAGUAGGUACUAGUAGUAGUGUCACACUAUAGCAGCACAGUCCAUCCAGUAGGUAGUAGUAGUGUCACACUGUAUCAGCACAGUCCAUCCAGUAGGUAGUAGUAGUAGUAGUGUCACACUCUAGCAGCACCGUCCAUCCAGUAGGUAGUAGUAGUGUCACACUAUAGCAGCACAGUCCAUCCAGUAGGUAGUAGUAGUAGUGUUACACUAUAGCAGCAUAGUCCAUCCAGUAGGUAGUAGUAGAGUCACACUCUAGCAGCACAGUCCAUCCAGUAGGUAGUAGUAGUGUGUCACACUCUAGCAGCACAGUCCAUCCAGAAGAUAGUAGUAGUGUCACACUCUAGCAGCACAGUCCAUCCAGUAGGUAGUAGUAGUGUCACACUCUAGCAGCACAGUCCAUCCAGUAGGUAGUAGUAGUAGUGUAUCACUCUAGCAGCACAGUCCAUCCAGUAGGUACUAGUAGUGUAUCACUCUAGCAGCACAGUCCAUCCAGUAGGUAGUAGUAGUGUGUCACACUCUAGCAGCACAGUCCAUCCAGUAGGAUGUAGUAGUGUGUCACACUCUAGCAGCACAGUCCAUCCAGUUGGUAGUAGUAGUGUGUCACACUCUAGCAGCACAGUCCAUCCAGUAGUAUGUAGUAGUGUGUCACACUCUAGCAGCACAGUCCAUCCAGUAGGUAGUAGUAGUAGUGUCACACUCUAGCAGCACAGUCCAUCCAGUAGGAUGUAGUAGUGUGUCACACUCUAGCAGCACAGUCCAUGCAGUAGGUAGUAGUAGUGUAUCACUCUAGUAGCACAGUCCAUCCAGUAGCUAGUAGUAGUGUAUCACUCUAGCAGCACAGUCCAUCCAGUAGGUAGUAGUAGUGUAUCACUCUAGUAGCACAGUCCAUCCAGUAGGUAGUAGUAGUGUAUCACUCUAGCAGCACAGUCCAUCCAGUAGGUGGUGGUAGUGUCAAACUCUAGCAGCACAGUCCAUCCAGUAGGUAGUAGUAGUACUGUCAUACUCUAGCAGCACAGUCCAUCCAGUAGGUAGUAGUAGUAGUGUGUCACACUCUAGCAGCACAGUCCUUCCAGUAGGUAGUAGUAGUGUCACACUCUAGCAGCACAGUCCAUCCAGUAGGUAGUAGUAGUGUCACACUAUAGCAGCACAGUCCAUCCAGGAGGUUGUUGUAGUAGUAUGUCACACUCUAGCAGCACAGUCCAUCCAGUAGGUAGUAAUAGUGUCACACUCUAGCAGCACGGUCCAUCCAGUAGGUAGUAGUAGUGUAUCACUCUAGCAGCACAGUCCAUCCAGUAGGAAGUAGUAGUGGUGUCACACUCCUGCAGCACAGUCCAUCCAGUAGGUAGUAGUAGUGUGUCACACUAUAGCAGCACAGUCCAUCCAGUAGGUAGUAGUAGUGUGUCACACUCUAGCAGCACAGUCCAUCCAGUAGGAUGUAGUAGUACUGUAUCACUCUAGCAGCACAGUCCAUCCAGUAGGAUGUAGUAGUAGUGUAUCACUCUAGCAGCACAGUCCAUCCAGUAGGUACUAGUAGUGUCACACUGUAGCAGCACAGUCCAUCCAGUAGGAUGUAGUAGUACUGUAUCACUCUAGCAGCACAGUCCAUCCAGUAGGAUGUAGUAGUAGUGUAUCACUCUAGCAGCACAGUCCAUCCAGUAGGUACUAGUAGUGUCACAUUGUAGCAGCACAGUCCAUCCAGUAGGUUGUAGUAGUAGUGUGUCACACUCUAGCACAUUCCAUCCAGUAG